rnacentral:rRNA from 1 species
CCUACGGGAGGCUGCAGUGGGGAAUAUUGCACAAUGGGCGAAAGCCUGAUGCAGCAACGCCGCGUGAAGGAAGAAGGGUUUCGGCUCUUAAACUUCUAUCAUCAGGGACGAAAGAAAGUACGGUACCUGAAUAAGAAGCCCCGGCUAAAUACAGGCCAGCAGCAGCGGUAAUCCGUAGGCGGCAAGCGUUAUCCGGAAUUACUGGGUGUAAAGGUUGAGUAGGUGGGAUGGUAAGCCAGAUGUGAAUGCCUUGGGCUUAAGCGGAGGAUUGCAUUUGGAACUAUCAAGCUAGAGUACAGGAGAGGAAAGAGGAAUUCCUAGUGUAGCGGUGAAAUGCGUAGAUAUUAGGAAGAACACCAGUGGCGAAGGCGGCUUUCUGGACUGAAACUGACGCUGAGGCACGAAAGCGUGGGGAGCAAACAGGAUUAGAUACCCUUGUAGUC